rnacentral:snRNA from 1 species
GUACUCGCUUCGGCGGUACAUAUACUAAAAUUGGAACGAUACAGAGAUUAGCAUGGCCCCUGCGCAAGGACGACACGAAAAAUCGUGAAGCGUUCCAUAUUUUU